UCCCUUUUGUUCUUCUCAAACAGCAGUACAAUACGCGUACAAGAGAAGCAAAAACCAGCUUCAACAUCGCAAACUUCAACAACCAUCAACACAACCAGCGAAGACCCGAACCUAUCAACCUGUUUUCAGCCAAAAAACCCAAAUACAUCCUUUCCCCUUCAAUUUAUGCGGAUUGUGUGACCUCUAUGUGAGUUCGUACAUCGAAUAACCUCGAAUCUUCUAGAAACGCACCUACGUGUCUUCUACAAUGGUUCAAUCCCACAUUUCUCGGAUAAGAUUAUACGAUUUCGUAUAAUAGUUGGUAGAUUUUCAUUGGUUCUUGAAGGGAACUAGGGGAGGGUUCGAAAAUUGGGGGAUUUUUUUUGGGAGGUCACUUUUUUUUAGGGGAAAAAUUUUAGUUGAGGAAAAGGCGAAAAAUUUGAUAGAGAUUUUGGGGUUCAAAAAUUCCUUAGAAGUUUUGAGGGAUUUUUCGCUGAGGUUCGAAAAUUUUUUGAGGGUGUUUCGGAUUCAAGUAGCUGAGGGGUUAGGAACUUUUCUGUCGAUUAAUUGGAGGCUUUUGAGUUGAUAUCAAUGAUUUCUGGUGGUGUUGGAAUCCGACAACUAGCUCGUCGUCCUGUUUUGCUGCCCCAAAAGAGGCCAAUGAGGAGGCCUAUCUUUCGAGUGAAUUCUUAGAGAAAGCUUGAAUAUCAACCCUUGGGUACUGGGUGCAAGGAGCUGAAAGAAGAAAGUGCGUUAAAGUUCCACUUUGAAGUGGCUACGAGACAAAAUUCUCAUUUAUUAUUUCAUUUUAUAUAUUUAUUGCCGUCUUUUAUUUAUUUAUUUAUUUAUUUAUUCAUUCAUUUGGGCCUCGAAGCCAAAACUAUAAAUUUAAUAUAGGUGGAUCGUGACUCGAGCCAAAGGCUCGAAAACUAGAGUAGGACAGAUGAAACGGGUCAAAGGCCCAAUUAGAUUAGGACAGUUUUUGUUGGUUUGGGCCCAAUGGCCUAAAUCGUGUACUUUCUCCUCCCUUUUCCCAUUUAUGUGUUUACUUGCUUAUUUCA